rnacentral:rRNA from 1 species
UGGGGAAUUUUGGACAAUGGGGGAAACCCUGAUCCAGCCAUCCCGCGUGUGCGAUGAAGGCCUUCGGGUUGUAAAGCACUUUUGGCAGGAAAGAAACGUCAUGGGUUAAUACCCCGUGAAACUGACGGUACCUGCAGAAUAAGCACCGGCUAACUACGUGCCAGCAGCCGCGGUAAUACGUAGGGUGCAAGCGUUAAUCGGAAUUACUGGGCGUAAAGCGUGCGCAGGCGGUUCGGAAAGAAAGAUGUGAAAUCCCAGAGCUCAACUUUGGAACUGCAUUUUUAACUACCGGGCUAGAGUGUGUCAGAGGGAGGUGGAAUUCCGCGUGUAGCAGUGAAAUGCGUAGAUAUGCGGGGGAACACCGAUGGCGAAGGCAGCCUACUGGGAUAACAAUGACGCUCAUGCACGAAAGCGUGGGGAGCACACAGG